ACAGCAGCAGCCGCGGUAAUACGGAGGGUGCAAGCGUUAUUCGGAAUUACUGGGCGUAAAGCGUGCGUAGGCGGUUCGUUAAGUCUGUUGUGAAAGCCCCGGGCUCAACCUGGGAAUGGCAAUGGAUACUGGCGAGCUAGAGUGUGUCAGAGGAUGGUGGAAUUCCCGGUGUAGCGGUGAAAUGCGUAGAGAUCGGGAGGAACAUCAGUGGCGAAGGCGGCCAUCUGGGACAACACUGACGCUGAGGCACGAAAGCGUGGGGAGCAAACAGGAUUAGAUACCCGCGUAGUCCCUGUCUCUUAUAU
rnacentral:rRNA from 1 species